UCGGGUUCAUAGCAGCAGGCCGCUUACACUGCAAGAUUGACAAGGUUGGAGGCAUUGUUGAGACCAACAGACCAGACAGCAAGAACUGGCAGUAUCAGGAGACAAUCAAGAAGGGAGAUCUAUUACUGAAUCGUGUGCAGAAACUAAGUCGAGUGAUCAACAUUUAGUGUCAAAGAUGGAAUAGCAACUUAGAAAUCUGAUUUUAAGCGCAAAUUUCUUCUGUGCGAUGAAAACUGUGGAACAUAAGGAAAUACUGUCUGUAUUCAUCAGGAAAAGCAAAACACGCUUGUGUUCCUUUAUUUAGAAAGCAUUAUUGUGUUAUUCAUGUGAAAUUCAUUGCUUUCAAAUAUGGUGAAAUUGUUCAUUAAACGCAACACAUGCAAAA